UACGUAGGGUGCAAGCGUUAUCCGGAAUUAUUGGGCGUAAAGAGCUCGUAGGCGGUUUGUCGCGUCUGCUGUGAAAACUGGGGGCUCAACCCCCAGCCUGCAGUGGGUACGGGCAGACUAGAGUGCGGUAGGGGAGAUUGGAAUUCCUGGUGUAGCGGUGAAAUGCGCAGAUAUCAGGAGGAACACCGGUGGCGAAGGCGGGUCUCUGGGCCGAUACUGACGCUGAGGAGCGAAAGCGUGGGGAGCGAACAGG
rnacentral:rRNA from 1 species